rnacentral:rRNA from 1 species
ACGGGUGAGUAACGCGUGGAUAACCUGCCUGUUAGUCCGGGACAACACCGGGAAACUGGUGCUAAUACCGGAUACGCUCAUUGGAACACAUGUUUUGAUGAGGAAAGGAGCAAUCCGUUAACAGAUGGGUCCGCGUCCCAUUAGCUAGUUGGAGGUGUAACGGACCCCCAAGGCGACGAUGGGUAGCCGGCCUGAGAGGGUGGACGGCCACACUGGAACUGAGACACGGUCCAGACUCCUACGGGAGGCAGCAGUGGGGAAUCUUCCGCAAUGGGCGAAAGCCUGACGGAGCAACGCCGCGUGAGUGAUGAAGGCCUUCGGGUUGUAAAACUCUGUCUUCAGGGAAGAAACAAAUGACGGUACCUGAGGAGGAAGCCCCGGCUAACUACGUGCCAGCAGCCGCGGUAAAACGUAGGGGGCGAGCGUUGUCCGGAAUUACUGGGCGUAAAGGGCGCGUAGGCGGUUAUCCAAGUCACAGGUGAAAACUACCGGCUCAACCGGUAGCCUGCCUGUGAAACUGGGUGACUUGAGGGCAGGAGAGGGGAGUGGAAUUCCCAGU